rnacentral:lncRNA from 10 species
CUGACGUCGGGGGCGAGCCGGGCCUGCGCGGUAGUGGGACCCGACCCUGUCUCCAGUGGGCGUCUUGGGCCCCGGCUCUAUUCUGGGCUGCGGGCCUGGGAAGGGCUCGCCGGGUGCCAAAUGAGCUGUCCUAACUCUGCGGGGCUGCAGCUUCCUGCAUGAUGCUGGGGAGCUUGGCGCCUGACCCAGGAUCUAGAAGGCACUCUGGGCAGGCCGCGCUCCGCCCACGAAGGUUUAACCACCAAGGACUCUGAGAGCUGGCAGGUCUGAGUAACCCUGAUAAACUGCCAGGGAGAAGAAUGAGAAGACAGGAGACAAACUGUUUGGAAAGCUAAAUCUUCCCUCUUAAUGAAUAAAGGUUUUUGCCUUGUCUUAAAGUUUCUGAGUCCUAAUUUUGGCAAAAUAAAU